GCCGAGCGGUAGAAUUCUUUCGGGAAUUUGAGAGCGGCGUACGGGUGUGGAACACGUGUGCAACCUGCCUUUAUCUGGGGGAUAGCCUUUCGAAAGGAAGAUUAAUACCCCAUAAUAUAUUGAGUGGCAUCACUUAAUAUUGAAAACUCCGGUGGAUAGAGAUGGGCACGCGCAAGAUUAGAUAGUUGGUGGGGUAACGGCCUACCAAGUCAGUGAUCUUUAGGGGGCCUGAGAGGGUGAUCCCCCACACUGGUACUGAGACACGGACCAGACUCCUACGGGAGGCAGCAGUGAGGAAUAUUGGACAAUGGGUGAGAGCCUGAUCCAGCCAUCCCGCGUGAAGGACGACGGCCCUAUGGGUUGUAAACUUCUUUUGUAUAGGGAUAAACCUAGAUACGUGUAUCUAGCUGAAGGUACUAUACGAAUAAGCACCGGCUAACUCCGUGCCAGCAGCCGCGGUAAUACGGAGGGUGCAAGCGUUAUCCGGAUUUAUUGGGUUUAAAGGGUCCGUAGGCGGAUCAGUAAGUCAGUGGUGAAAUCUCAUAGCUUAACUAUGAAACAUGCCAUUGAUACGGCGUGGACUACCUUGAGUAAGGUAGAAGUAGCUGGAAUAAGUAGUGUAGCGGUGAAAUGCAUAGAUAUUACUUAGAACACCAAUUGCGAAGGCAGGUUACUAUGUCUUAACUGACGCUGAUGGACGAAAGCGUGGGGAGCGAACAGGAUUAGAUACCCUGGUAGUCCACGCUGUAAACGAUGCUAACUCGUUUUUGGGUUUUCGGAUUCAGAGACUAAGCGAAAGUGAUAAGUUAGCCACCUGGGGAGUACGAACGCAAGUUUGAAACUCAAAGGAAUUGACGGGGGCCCGCACAAGCGGUGGAUUAUGUGGUUUAAUUCGAUGAUACGCGAGGAACCUUACCAAGGCUUAAAUGGGAAUUGAUCGGUUUAGAAAUAGACCUUCCUUCGGGCAAUUUUCAAGGUGCUGCAUGGUUGUCGUCAGCUCGUGCCGUGAGGUGUUAGGUUAAGUCCUGCAACGAGCGCAACCCCUGUCACUAGUUGCUACCAUUAAGUUGAGGACUCUAGUGAGACUGCCUACGCAAGUAGAGAGGAAGGUGGGGAUGACGUCAAAUCAUCACGGCCCUUACGCCUUGGGCCACACACGUAAUACAAUGGCCGGUACAGAGGGCAGCUACACAGCGAUGUGAUGCAAAUCUCGAAAGCCGGUCUCAGUUCGGAUUGGAGUCUGCAACUCGACUCUAUGAAGCUGGAAUCGCUAGUAAUCGCGCAUCAGCCAUGGCGCGGUGAAUACGUUCCCGGGCCUUGUACACACCCCCCGUCAAGCCAUGGAAGUCUGGGGUACCUGAAGUCGGUGACCGUAAAAGGAG
rnacentral:rRNA from 1 species